UCCAAAGUAAGCAUGUCUUCCAAGUGGC
rnacentral:piRNA from 1 species